GCUGAACACUCUUCUGAAUGAUCCAAACAGUGUGAAGUUUAACUCCAGCUCCUCCAACUUCACGAGCACAUCAGAUCAAAUAAACGGCAAUAUGGACUACAUCUUCCAAGAUGGAGAUGAGAUACAACCAGUCAGCUUCCUCAAUGAGCUUCGUAAGCUGAUGGGUCUGACCACUACAACGUUGUCUCCACUCUCGACAAGCAGCUUCCCUGUGACGUCUUUCCAGCAAAU